AAAAUUUAAGAAAUGCUUGAACAAAAGUUUAAAGUUUAAAAAGCAUCUCGACAAAAACUAAAAUUUUUUAUAAAUUAUUUGAAUAAAAUAUAAAAAAUUAAAAAAUAUUUCAACAAUAUUUUAAAUUUAAAAUAAUUAUUUAGAAAUAAAUUUAAAAUAUUAUUUUUUUUCAAAAAAUUUAAACUAAUAAGAAUUCCUAGGUAAGGAGGAAGUCUAUUGUAUUACACCUAGCAUCACAUUAUUAAUAACUAGUAUUUGACCCGUGCGAUACACAGAUAAUAUAAUAAUAUAAAAUAACAAAAAUUAUUAUGUGAAGAUAAAAAAAAAUAUUCUAAUUAAUAUUAUAUUUUUUAAACAAAUAAAGAAAUAUGCUAUCAAUCUAAAUUAUAGUACAUAUUAACGUACAAAAGCUAGAGAAAAAAAAUUAUGGACCAAAGUAAAUACUCAAGUAGUAUCGUAGGUUGUUGUUAGAAACUACAUACAUAUUGUAGGUUGUUGUUAGAAAAACAUCACAUUAAAUCAUACACGUCAAGUGCAGAAGUAAAAAUUCUCACGUUAGUCCAACACAAGUUAUCAUUCUCUUACAAAAUUCACAAUAGAAUGCAGUUCCAUCAGGAAUCACCUUUUUGCUACACUUUUUGCAAGAAUUGUAGAACCAGUCACGCUCAGUCUCAACAUUUAAAACAGUUGCUAAAGUGACACAUACAUAAGGCUGAAAAGAUGAUAUAUAUUCAGUGUUAAGAAUAAGAGAAUAAAAUGUAUUAAAACGAUAAACAUGGAGAAGAUAUUUAUACUUGUUUACCUGUUGGCAUUAUUAAAUUUCAGCCAGAGUUUUCCUUUGAGAUACUUUUAGGAAGUCAUCCGUUAGAGAAAUAAUGGAUUGAGGUGAAAUUUCACUAAGCGCCAUAGAUUGACUUAAUUCUUCACUUACAAUCCUAAAUUUUAUAUUUUAAUGUAAGCAAACAAUACAUAUUCAAAAAAAUAAUAAGGUUAUUGAUUAACUUACUUAUUUUU
rnacentral:lncRNA from 1 species